rnacentral:tmRNA from 1 species
GGGGCUGUCCUGGUUUCGACGUGGGUUCGGGACCGGUGCGGUGCAUGUCGAGCUUGAGUGAUGCUCGUAAAUCUCCAUUCAAAAAACUAACUGCAAACGACGAACGUUUCGCACUCGCCGCUUAAUCCGGUGAGCCUUGCAACAGCACGCUAGUGGGCUGGGCAAGGGGGUAGCAAUACCUCCCGGCUGCAAGGGAAUUUACAUUAGCUGGCUGGAUACCGGGCUUCUUGGUAUCAGGCGAGAUUCAAGGAAGCUGGCUACCCAGAUAGCGUGUGCCUGCGGGGUCUGGGUGGCGAGAUUCAAAACAGAGCACUAAACAUGUAGAUCUGUCCGGCGAAGGCUUACGGACGCGGGUUCAAUUCCCGCCAGCUCCACCA